UAGACAGAUUAUUGUAUUCGACUGUAUUCACGGCGUGAAACAGGGGAUUGCACUGUUUUUAAAUGGAAAGUGAAUCAAUUAACAUAAUAGACUCCU
rfam:Nicotiana sylvestris Nsyl_contig18206, whole genome shotgun sequence.